CGCUCCUCCCUCGGCCUGGCUGGAGAUGGUACGAUCCGCCCGCAAAGCACCUCCUCGCCUGCCAGAGGGAGUUCAGCUGGCCGGGCGGGGAAGGAGGGCGUGAUGCAGCCGGCCAGGUGCCAUAGCAACGCAGCUCAAGCUCCGGGAUGGAACUAGCCAUAUCCCUCAGGGAGACAAGCAGGCACAGUUGGGUUUGUGGAACUGGUUCACACCUUGUUGCACCACAAGCGGAUGAAUGGCUAACUCUGAUGUAAGGUCAACUCUAAAAAUAAGAAGAGCAGCUUGGUGUGGGCCUUUUUGCAGCACACACAACAAGUGUUGCUGGCUGGGAGAAGCUACAGGAGACAGAGAGUUGGAGGCCAUCCUGGGGAAUGUGAUUGAAGGGACACAAGAAACAUACUGAUAUUGAAUGAAUGAAUGAAUGAAUGAAUGAAUGAAUGAAUGAAUUCAAUUCCUGAAAAUUCAGUACCGGACUUCCGGACUUCAGAGAUUUCACAUCUCGCCAGAGUGGGGUGUCCCAAUCAUGUGCAAUGGAGGCAAAGCUCCCCUUUCUCCAGGAAGGGCCAUUCAAAGCUGUGCAAAAAUGCUCCUAGUCUUACGUUACCCACUGAACUUUCCUGGAGCUAUCAAAGCCUGUGAAAUAACAACCAACAUCAACAAUGAAUAAUGCUUGCAAAGCUAAGCUUGCAAAACCACCAUCAUCUCAAGACUGUUUACAGCAGCUGAAUCACCUGAACUUGUCAGCAAUAAAAUCAACGGCUGGCUGUAGUUUUUGUAAGGUUAUUUGCUCAGGGAAUCCUCUCCUCUUCCUGUAACAAACAAACCCACAAGCAGCAGGUGGGUGGUAGAGCGUUGUCUUGAAUGCAUCACUUCAGAUUGCAGCUGGGAGCAGGUGAAGGCCACAUAAUGGCAGCUCCCUACCCUGAAAGAUAUAUCCCAGCUUUUCAGAAGGAAAGGAGGUUGAAAACUCCUUUUUGCUUGGUGUGCAGGUUUUGGGGGUGUAUUUGUUUUAAAACACAUCUUUCAGUCAUGUGGAUUCAUCCCCUUCCUGCAGGCACACACUCUGCUCCCCCUUUCCUGUUCACCUCCACCCCGAAUGGCUGCCCUGAGGUCUCAAGUUCGGGCCCUUGAAAUCUCAGGUUCAGAAAUGCUCUUGCCUGGCAACCCUAACAUACCCUGUUUCUCCGAAAAUAAGACAUAGCCAUAAAAUAAGCCAUAGCAGGAUUUUUAAGCAUUCAAGGAAUAUAAGCCAUACCCCGAAAAUAAGACAUCGUGAUAGGCGCCGCAGCAAUGCCAGCCGCGGCAGGAGGAGGAGGAAAAAAUAAGACAUCCCCUGAAAAUAAGCCAUAGUGUGUGUGUUUUUUAGGAAAAAUAAAUAUAAGACGGUGUCUAAUUUUCGGAGAGACACGGUACCCACAGUGCUGUGAAGUGAUGCAGCCUCAGUUCGACAGGUUCCUUCAUAAUUUGUGAGAAUUAAGACGGAGACACUGUGAAUGUUUCUGGACUCCCCCUCCCAUCAGUGUCAGGAUGAUGGGAGUUGUAGUUCAGCAAUAUCCCGAGGGCCACAAGUUCCAUGGUCCCUGCAUCCAGACUGCAUCCAACAGGAAGUCAGCCUGGUGGAGACUGAAUCAGCAGCAUUCAAAGCUGCAGAAGGAGGCAGAAAGCACACCGAUGACCAAGGAGGAGAGGGUGCAUGAGAGCAAGCAGAGCAUCUUGGGAAAAGCAGGUUAAGGUUUCUUGUGUGGGUGAUGCAGUGCCCAGAGGAAGUGUUGCCUCCUCUGGCUGGAAGGUUCCAACCCAGCUGCCCCACCUGCUAUGCAAAGCACAUUGCCUUGAUGUGGGGAAAUGUCCGGAAAGACAGGCUGUGAGGCAGAGAUGCUAAUCCACCUGUUGAGCUGGUAUGUGUGGGGCUCUGUGCAAACUGGGGUGACUCACUCUCUCUGCAUUUUUUUUUUUAAGGGAAAAAAGUGGGGGAGGGUCAAAGGCAAAUCCCUGCAGGAAGAGUGGUCUAGUAAGAGUUGUUAGCCAUAGUGGCUGAAAGGAACUUUCACAAAUAGCAGCAGUAUAUCGCUUUAGCAUUACUUUUGUUUUGAGUGGCUGGGGAAACCCAGCCAGAUGGGCGGGUAUAAAUAAUAAUUUGCUUGUUGUUUUUGUAGAAAAGGUGCCAGUACCCAAAGCCUGCUCACAGAGCUACAAUUCCCAGCACCCUUAAACUACAGUUCCCAGGAUUCUUUGGUGAAAGUCAUGUGCUUUAAAUGUGUGUAAGAUGUGCUUCAAAUGUACAAUGUGGAUCUGCCCUGAGGGGGGGGGGAGAGAAACUGGGUCUGCACCCCCAGGUGUUUUGAGUCUGGUGUGCAAUGCCCUUUUGCAUAUGUCAUUCCAUAGGUCAGGAGUGGAGAGCCACAUUCCCUCCUGGGCCAGCUCCCAGGGGCCACAUCCCAGUGGGGGGUGGAUGCAGAUGUAAAAGCAGGCACAGCAAUGCACAUGAAUCUUCAGUUCCAGUCACGGAAACCCAGGUUUCCACCCCCCUCAAUCUCUCCAUCACCCUGGAGGGGCACGAGCUCCUAGAGAGCCCCAGGGGCCAAACGAAGAGACGGGGGUGUUUUUCUGCUAAGGGGGCAGGAUACCUUCACCGCAUCAAAGGGACGAUGGUUGGGACCAUGUGUCGUCAAAUCUUGGGUGAGCACCUCCUUCCCUCAACCAGAGCAUUGAAAAUGGGUCGAGGAUGGGUAUUCCAGCAUGACAAUGACCCAAAACACACGGCCAGGGCAACAAAGGAGUGGCUCAAGAAGAAGCACAUUAAGGUCCUGGAGUGGCCUAGCCAGUCUCCAGACCUUAAUCCCAUCAAAAAUCAGUGGAGGGAGCUGAAGGUUCAGAUAGCUACACAUCAGCCUCAAAAUCUUACUGACUUGGAGAGGAUCUGCAAAGAGAUGUGUGCAAACCUGGUGGCCACCUUCAAGAAACGUCUGACCUCUGUAAUUGCCACCAAGGGUUUUGCCACCAAGUACCAAGUCAUCUUUUUGCAAAGGGAUCAAAUACUUAUUUCACUCAUUAUAAUGCACAUCAAUCUCUGACUUUUGUCUUCUGGGGUUUUUCCUGUUGUUAUUCUGUCUCUCAGCUACAAUAA